GACGAACGCUGGCGGCGUGCUUAACACAUGCAAGUCGAACGAUGAACCGCUUCGGCGGGGAUUAGUGGCGAACGGGUGAGUAACACGUGGGCAAUCUGCCCUUCACUCUGGGACAAGCCCUGGAAACGGGGUCUAAUACCGGAUACGAGCCUCCAGGGCAUCUUGGAGGCUGGAAAGCUCCGGCGGUGAAGGAUGAGCCCGCGGCCUAUCAGCUUGUUGGUGAGGUAGUGGCUCACCAAGGCGACGACGGGUAGCCGGCCUGAGAGGGCGACCGGCCACACUGGGACUGAGACACGGCCCAGACUCCUACGGGAGGCAGCAGUGGGGAAUAUUGCAUAAUGGGGGAAACCCUGAUGCAGCGACGCCGCGUGGAGGACGAAGGGUCUAGGCCUGUAAACUCCUUUUACCAGGAAAGACUUAGGACGGUACCUGGUGAAUAAGCCCCGGCUAACUACGUGCCAGCCGCCGCGGUAAUAC
rnacentral:rRNA from 1 species